rnacentral:ncRNA from 2 species
UAAUCGCUGCAAAAAUCAGGUGACCUUUCGUUUAAACGGGAAACUGGUGCGAAUCCAGUACUGCCCCCGCAACGGUAAGGGAGAGUAAACCAUCCACCGGGCUGAUGCCACUGAGAAAUCGGGAAGGCGCCCGCGUUGGACAGCGAUCUGCUGGCUCUGCCAAGUCCGGAUACCGGCCUGAUCAGUCUUUGGGUA